rnacentral:rRNA from 1 species
GAGUUUGAUCGUGGCUCAGAUUGAACGCUGGCGGCAUGCCUUACACAUGCAAGUCGAACGGCAGCACGGGAGCAAUCCUGGUGGCGAGUGGCGAACGGGUGAGUAAUAUAUCGGAACGUGCCCAGUAGUGGGGGAUAGCCCGGCGAAAGCCGGAUUAAUACCGCAUACGACCUACGGGUGAAAGCGGGGGAUCGCAAGACCUCGCGCUAUUGGAGCGGCCGAUAUCAGAUUAGCUAGUUGGUGGGGUAAAGGCCUACCAAGGCGACGAUCUGUAGCUGGUCUGAGAGGACGACCAGCCACACUGGGACUGAGACACGGCCCAGACUCUUACGGGAGGCAGCAGUGGGGAAUUUUGGACAAUGGGCGCAAGCCUGAUCCAGCCAUGCCGCGUGUGGGAAGAAGGCC